rnacentral:rRNA from 1 species
CCUUCUCUGCGGAAUAGCCACUGGAAACGGUGAGUAAUACCGCAUACGCCCUUCGGGGGAAAGAUUUAUCGGUGAAGGAUCGGCCCGCGUUAGAUUACAUAGUUGGUGGGGUAACGGCCUACCAAGUCUACGAUCUAUAGCUGGUUUUAGAGGAUGAUCAGCAACACUGGGACUGAUACACGGCCCAGACUCCUACGGGAGGCAGCAGUGGGGAAUCUUGGACAAUGGGCGCAAGCCUGAUCCAGCCAUGCCGCGUGAGUGAUGAAGGCCUUAGGGUCGUAAAGCUCUUUCGCCAGAGAUGAUAAUGACAGUAUCUGGUAAAGAAACCCCGGCUAACUCCGUGCCAGCAGCCGCGGUAAUACGGAGGGGGUUAGCGUUGUUCGGAAUUACUGGGCGUAAAGCGCACGUAGGCGGAUCAGAAAGUUGGGGGUGAAAUCCCGGGGCUCAACCCCGGAACUGCCUCCAAAACUCCUGGUCUUGAGUUCGAGAGAGGUGAGUGGAAUUCCGAGUGUAGAGGUGAAAUUCGUAGAUAUUCGGAGGAACACCAGUGGCGAAAGGCGGCUCACUGGCUCGAUACUGACGCUGAGGUGCGAAAGUGUGGGGAG